AGACGCGUGACACACAACAAGAACACGAUCUUUAACCGGCUCGCCGCUAGUUUGUCUCGCUCGACGACUCAAUAGGUCCUGUGUUGUCACACGGAGCUCGACGCGACGCACAGGAAGGGGGCGUGUCCGCUGUGCCGAACUCCUGUGUUGCAGUCGGCUGGGCUCGGGUAGCAAAGCACCUCGCCUUGGAAAAUGGGCAUUUGCUCUCCUGCAUUGCAAAUUGUGAAUUUCUUUCCGACUCUAAAAGCACUUGUUGGCUGAGCGAUUAGCGAAGCCCAUUACUCCACUGACCGGAAAAGUUUCAUUCUGUUUCUCUGUCUGUUUGUUUGUCUGUCUGUCUGUCUGCACGAUAACUCGAGAAAGAAUUGAGAUAGCGACCUGGGAUUUUCAGGGUCGUUUUGCAUCAUAAAAAGACAGAUCGAGUUCGAAGAUGAGCAUUCUAGCUCAAAAUUUGGCUUUUUUAAAAAUCAAAAACCACAGGUUGCAAAAUAUUUAUUUUUUUCACAUAUUUUUUUAUGGGCUUCUAAGGGGUAACUCGUGGAAGUAGAUCCCUUUGGGCGAAAAUUUUGUCCGUUUUGCUCUAUCUCGCACCGUUUGGGUGCUAGGGAGCAUUUCUUGGCGAAAAUAAGGUAAAAACGACAAAAUGGUCUAUUAAAUCGUAAAAUUUAACUCGUCUGGGGUGUCAGCGCCGCAGGCCUAGCUAUAUGUGCGCCAGGCGCGUCGCAGCGUAACAGUGUUUCGUGAGAUAUCGCGAAGCCUGUUACGCGAGACGUGGUCUGGCGUACAUAUAGCUAGUACUCUAUCGAACGUUACGACGUUACAGGGUUCUCCGUAUCGUAUCGCGUUACAACAAACCGUUGGUCGAAAAAGUAACGCGUUACGAUAUCAAUACAAAUAUCGUAUCCAUAUCGUCGUAUCGUCGUUACACGAUAACAUAUCGUUAACUACUCUGCCAUCGGAUAGUGUCGGUUUCUCGCUUAAGUCCGACGUGGAAAACUAAAACAUACAGUGACAAUUAGUAAGGUAAGGGAGGGUGGGGCAGUGUGUAAUAGGGUAAGUCGUAUAUCGCUUAUUUUCGAUUCUUGGGUUGUAAUAGUGUUUUUCAGGUGCCAUUUUGAAUUAAAAUUUUAAAAAAUGU